rnacentral:lncRNA from 1 species
CAAAUCAAUUUUUUCAUUAUACAGAAUUCGAAAUAUGUUAUCGUUUACUUCAUUUGAAACUAGACUCAUUAAGGAGUCUAAGAAUAUAAAUUUUAUCUUAUAAUCAUCAUUGUACAAUUUACAAUGAUUUUCUAAAGAUAGAACAGGGGAUUUCAAAGUCAUUUUGACUCUGUCUCACUCCACUUCAAAUAUCUCAUUAUCUAAAAUUCUUUUUCUUACAUGGUUUCUUUUAUAAGAAACUAGACUCAUUAAGCUUUAAUUUCAUAAUUUA